rnacentral:lncRNA from 1 species
AGAGGGAGGAGUUAAGGAGACAGACAGAGAGAGAGAGAGAUCUGAGGAGAAGAGGGAGAACCAAAAUGGAGGCUGACGUGGUGUUAUCAAAGUGGAGUGACCAGGGCUGACAGGUAUUCUGACAUCUGCUCCCUGAGAGGUGACGUGGGAAGUCCUGCACUGUGAGUCCAUUGAGUAGGACACACCCAGGCCUCUUCUUUUCUCCAGGAUAUGUGCAAGAUGAGAGCCAGCCAUCGUCUCCUGAUAGUGGAGAUUUGAUCUGAAGCAUUCAAAUAGGAAAUGAAUGCUCAGAGGAAGCUUCAAAUUUCUUUCUACUUGAAGAAGCUGAAUUGCAGAAGCUAUCUCUGUCCUGUUAAUCACCGGGUCCACAGUGAAACCAGCCAACUUCAGAGAGUGAGUUAAAAGAGAGACUCUUGUGCUGCGUGACCCCUGACUGUAACCAAGUGUCCUUCUCUCUGAGACGUUCCCUCGGAGCUUGUUCUCACAGCCCUCACCUCCAGUGACCUCCACGAACUUUUCCACACGAGGGGUUCUCUGCUUCCCUCCAUCUGAGCUGCGCAAUUCCACCAGGCCUUUUGCUCCUCUUCAGUCAGGUGCUUUGGAGGUAAUGAAGUCUUUCGGGGGAAAAAUAAACAAAGGAAAUGCACCCGGUUGAUGUCAAUGGACUUGUUUAACUAUUUAAGGCCACUGUCUCCAAGUGUAAGUGUGCUGCGGUGUGUUUUGUAAAGUAGCGCUUAUAAUCCACUGAGCUUUCCAAACAGCCCUCUUGCCUAUUAAGCCUGCAUUGAGAAGUGGGUUUAAUUUGCCAGAGUAGUUUUUUGUGAUAAUUACAGGACUUGCAGAUUAGCUUGAGUGACUUGGCAAGGUUCUGUAGCUAAUAAAAAAUCACACAGGAAAAAAAUUGUAACAUUCAAUUGCUUCAAGGUUCUUCACGAGAGAAACAUUAAACAAACCUGAUAGGCCAGUUUCCAGUCUGUGAAGGGACUUGGAGGCAAGCCGGGAGAGAGGGAGGAGAAAGAGAUCGCCAUGAUGGGGAAGAAGGAAGAGGAGACCUAAAGGCCAGCUGACAUGACUUUGGGUCCCUAACCUGCAACUCAGCACUCAGUCCAUCAUGGGCUUUGCUAGUCUCUGUGACUUCUCCAGGGCAGGAAAGUGACAGGUUUCUGCGCAAGGGAGCCCGAGGUACCUGGUUCAGGAUGGAGAGGGCACUUGAGAGGCGUCAAAAGCAAGCACAGUUAGAGGACAUCAGCGAUGUUAAAACCCCACGAGGGUCAACAGUAGCCCAGGCAAAAUAAAGGAGCCUGAAGUGGAAAAACAGAAAUGGAACAAGACGUUUGUUCUGGAGCACGUGAGAUUGUCCUUCUAAGACAUUUCCAGAAGUAUUCAAAGGAAGAUUUAAUGGGAAAUCAUUAUGCAAAAGAGUCAGUAAUAUAUUUUAGUUUCAAAAAGUACGGAGCGUGACGCCUGUCAAUUAUACCUUCUGCAAAGGUGAGUGGCGGUUGUCCUUGCUGUUCCAAAAUGCAAAGAGAAACAAACAAACAAACAAACAAGCAAACCAGCUACUCCUAUUCCGCACUCCAAACACCAAGCAGAAAUGCUUCUGGGACAAACUGAGCUUCAUUCUUUAUGAAAAUGAAAACACUUCUUUCUGUGCACUAGGAAAAUGUUCUGCCUCUGAGCUGCAAAACCAGCACCAAACUUGAAAAGUUUGUGCAUCAAAGGAAAAAGGCAACCUACAGGAUGGGGGAGAAUAUUUGCAGGACACAUGUCCUGGAAGGAAUACAUAUUUAGACUGAAUAAAAUGAGUAAGAGGAGGGAUAGGGAGUUCGUGUUCAAUGUUGAGAGCUUGGGACAGUUGAGAAAACGCUCCGGAGUGUUCUGCAGAUGAAUGAUGGUGACGACUGCAUCAGUGUGAAUGUCCUUAACGCCGUCAAAAAUUGGUUAUAAUGGCAAAUUUUAUGCUACAUAUGUUUUACUACAAUAAAAAUGCCAGGAAAAUCUAACUGCUCCAAAUCCUGAAUUUAUUAACCCAAUAAAUUAGGAGAUGGUUAUUGACCUAUAAAUGGAUUUGUCAAUUUUUAAAAUGAUUUCCUUUAAAUUGAAUUCUUUCCUAGAGCUUUAUUGUCUCUUCACAAACCAUUAAACACUUGUUAAAGUGUUCAGAGAGGGCUGAGAUGGAGGAGGAAGUGAAAACCAAACAAACAGAUGAGGGACCUUCCCCAAAUGAUGUCUGCUAACAGGCUUCUUGGGUAUUCUAUUUAUAUAGAUUUUACAAGUGUUUUAUUUGAGAGGAAAAAUCCCUAGACCUUACAUAGUACAAUGAACUUCUUAUGCCUGUCAGCUAGAUUUAUUAAUUUUUAACGAGGUGUAUUACUUUUAAAAGCUAUCUAUUUACUAUUGGGGGAGGGAGAAGGACAAAGGACAUCUUGCAGAAGUCUGGUCUCUCCUGCUAUGUGGGUUCUGGAGAUAGGAAAUCAGGCAGGUUGUCAGGCCUAGAAGCAAAGGCCUGUCUGCACUGAGCCAUCUUACUUGUCUUAUUUUGUUACUUUUGAUGACCUAUUUUAGACAUCACUAUUCUAUAGCCCUAAGUAUAACUUCAAGUAUGUAUCUUCCACAAUGACUUUAUGACCAUGAAAUCAAUUCAAGAAAUUUAACAUGUAUGCAGUUCUAUCCAGCGUACAUACAGAUUUCUCAUCCCCCCUUUUACUGUAGUUUAUAGAAAAAGCAAUUCUCUUCCAUAUCUAGAGUUUGACAAGGAAUAUGCAUUGCAUUUGGUUUCUGUGUUCUUUAAUCUCUUGUUGUACAGAACUUCAACCUUUCAUGACAGGUUGAACAAUUUUGGAUCAUACAGGCUGUCAUGGUUUGAAUAUGUUUGGCCCAGGGAGUGGUACUGUUAGGGGUGUGGUCUUCUUGGAAUAGGUGUGUCACCGUGGGCGUGGGCUUUAAGACCCUCAUCCUUAGCUUCUGGAAGUCAGUCUUCCACUAGCAACCUUCAGAUGAAGAUGUAGAACUCUCACCAUCUCCUGCACUAUACCUGCCUGGAUAUCGCCAUGUUCCUGCCUUGAUGAUUAUGGACUGAACCUCUGAACCUGUAAGCCAGCCCCAAUUAAAUUUGUCCUUAUAAGAGUUACCUUGGUCAUGGUGUCUGUUCACAGCAGUAAAACCCUAACUAAGACACAGGCCAAUUACAGAAUGUCUCUUUUUGGUGUGUGCAGUGUUAAAGUUUGAAGCACAAGCCUAAUGCUUGUUAGACAAGCACUCUACCGCUGCUCUACAUCAGCAGCUCAGUGUGCCUCUUGUCUUGAUGGGCUCAUUGUUUUUUAUGACCCAGUGCAUUGGGGUGAGCAGCUCACACAGGUACGAAGGGGUCCCUCUCAGAGCUUAACAUCAGGGAACUCAAUGUUGGUUUGUCUGUUCUAUUUCAGCUGAGCUAGUAUCUGGCAGUUCCCCACAACCCCCAUCAAGUUACCACUUUUUUCUUUGUAAUUGUAAUUUGCAAAGAAAUAUUUGCAAGAUUAAGUAAUAGACUACACAACGUGUUUUAGCUUCCACUGAGCAUUCAGCCUGAACUGUUUUAUAAAGUUAUGAAAUGAUAGAUUUCCAACUUAAUAAUUAUUUUAAAGACUUAUUUUAUUUUUAGUUCUGCAUGUAUGCCUGUGUGUGCACGUGUGUACCUAUGUAUCUGUAUGGUUAUGUGCACAUGAAUGCAGAUGUCCAAGGAGAAGAGGCCAGACACAUUGGAUCCCUGGUGCUCAAGUGGGAGGUGGCUGUCAGCUGCUGUAGGAAGGUGAUGGGAACUCAGCUUGAGUCCUUUGCAAGAACAGCAUGAGCUCUUAAACACAGAGCCACAUCUUCAGUCCCUCUCUUAUUUUUUUAAAAAUUAUUCUCUCUCUGUGUAUGUGUGUGUAUACAGAGGUCAGAGGAUCAUUUUUGUAAAAUUAGUUCUCUCUACCUUUUUUUGUGGGCUCUGGGGACUAAACUCAAGUUGUUGGGAUUUUGUGACAAGUGCUGUAUCCACUGAGCCCUCUCACAUGCCCUUAAAUGUUAUUUUAAAUAAUAGCAAAUGAGUACGUUCAAGCAUACGAGAAUAAGCAUGUCCUAUUGAUUUGAAUAUGCAAAAGUAUGCCAAUUUUUUAAAUCUCUAUUACCAAGUGGACAAGUAUUCCAUUUUAUCUCCAAAAGUAAAGAUUUCUUUUAGAUACAGUCAUGUGGAUUAUACAACUUGACUGAAGCCAUGUCUCCAAGAUACAUACCUAGAGGGUAAAGGGAAUGCUUUAAAGGAGCGUGAUUAUGAAUAUCCAAGCUGAAAAUAAACACUAAUUACUAACAAAAAGGAUUACUGAGAAAAAUAUGGGUUGGUUUUCAGUACUUGACUCUGUAAAGUUAUUUCUUUUCUUAUUUAGUUUUUAUUCAUAAUCAUAAACUUAACUUUGCCAUCCAGCUAGACUUGAAGGGGAAUGAGGAAAAUAUGGAACCCAAAGAACUUGAGCAGAGAUUACAGGGUAUUUCAAGCAGAUGGGGUAGGGAUGCUCUCCUGCGCUACAGAAGGAAUGGUUGGAUGGGUAAAAUGCCUGCAAGUCAAAAGAAAUUAGAGUUAUCCACAGUCGGAAAUGGUCUUGCUGGUCUUUCCAUUCCUGGACCCAAAACACUCCAUGGCUUCCACAAUGUUCAUGCCUUCUUUCACCUUCCCAGACACCACAUGCUUGCCAUCCAGCCACUUAGUCUUGGCAGUGCAGAUAAAAAACUGGGAACCGUUUGUGUUGGUCCAGUAUUUGCCAUGGACAAGAUGCCAGGACCUGUAUGCUUCAGGAUGAAGAUCUCAUCCUCAAAUUUCUCUCCAUAGAUGGAUCUGCCGCCAGUGCCAUUAUGGCAUGUAAAGUCACCACCCUGGCACAUGAAUCCUGGAAUAAUUCUGUGAAAGGAGGAACCCUUCUAGUAAAAUCCUUUCUCUCCAGUGCUCAGAGCAUGAAAGUUUCCCGCUGUCUUUGGAACUUUGUCUGCAAACAGCUGGAAGGAGACUCUUCAAGGGCUCGUCAUCGGCCGUGAUGUCAGAGAACACGGUGGGGUCGACUGUGGCUACAGCAAGAGGACCAACGGUACUGUUGCUCUAGCUACAGGAAUAAUCCUGGGCAGCACUUGUUGACCUUGGUCACUGUCAAGGGAAGAUCGGCUGUUCCCACUGAGGGCAUCUUGAUGGAUUAAGGUGAUCAGCUGAUCAAUGUGAGGGGACAGAUGGGAGCUAGGAACUGUCUCGGUACUGAGUCAUUUUUCAUCUAAUGUGCAAGAAACCCAAAGAGCACAUCAAACAGCGAACUACGCCUAAGCUAUCCAUGUUUCUCCUGCUUCUUCUGAGAGGGUGAUUUACACGUAGCUCAACACUCGAGUGUUGCAGUAUCGAGUGACUGCAACCAAACAAUGGAACAUGCAUCGUGCCUGUUGACAGAGCCUGCAGUUGGCUUGGAACCGGGACCAUGCUGCAUUCGACAUCGUUCCUGGUGGCUGACUUGUUCCCAUAGAAUUAAAUGCUAGGCAUCCAGAAGCUGACUGUGCAUCUGAUGGGCUCACUAACAUUCAGGAACAGGUUGGCCUCAGACUUCAUCAAUGGAAAG